rnacentral:rRNA from 1 species
CAUAGGUUAAUGAGGCGAACCGGGGGAACUGAAACAUCUAAGUACCCCGAGGAAAAGAAAUCAACCGAGAUUCCCCCAGUAGCGGCGAGCGAACGGGGAGGAGCCCAGAGCCUGAAUCAGCAUGUGUGUUAGUGGAAGCGUCUGGAAAGGCGCGCGAUACAGGGUGACAGCCCCGUACACAAAAGCGCAUGUGCUGUGAGCUCGAUGAGUAGGGCGGGACACGUGGUAUCCUGUCUGAAUAUGGGGGGACCAUCCUCCAAGGCUAAAUACUCCUGACUGACCGAUAGUGAACCAGUACCGUGAGGGAAAGGCGAAAAGAACCCCGGCGAGGGGAGUGAAAAAGAACCUGAAACCGUGUACGUACAAGCAGUGGGAGCCCCACCACUAAGCCAGUGGUGAACUCCACAUACGCAUCCUUUGCUGAGGAUACGGUUAACGGAGCGAAAGCGACGUUCAACCUCAAAAGAAGCAGAGGGGGCUUAGUGGUGGGGUGACUGCGUACCUUUUGUAUAAUGGGUCAGCGACUUAUAUUCUGUAGCAAGGUUAACCGAAUAGGGGAGCCGGAGGGAAACCGAGUCUUAACCGGGCGUUAAGUUGCAGGGUAUAGACCCGAAACCCGGUGAUCUAGCCAUGGGCAGGUUGAAGGUUGGGUAACACUAACUGGAGGACCGAACCGACUAAUGUUGAAAAAUUAGCGGAUGACCUGUGGCUGGGGGUGAAAGGCCAAUCAAACCGGGAGAUAGCUGGUUCUCCCCGAAAGCUAUUUAGGUAGCGCCUCGUGAAUUCAUCUCCGGGGGUAGAGCACUGUUUCGGCUAGGGGGCCAUCCCGGCUUACCAACCCGAUGCAAACUGCGAAUACCGGAGAAUGUUAUCACGGGAGACACACGGCGGGUGCUAACGUCCGUCGUGAAGAGGGAAACAACCCAGACCGCCAGCUAAGGUCCCAAAGUCAUGGUUAAGUGGGAAACGAUGUGGGAAGGCCCAGACAGCCAGGAUGUUGGCUUAGAAGCAGCCAUCAUUUAAAGAAAGCGUAAUAGCUCACUGGUCGAGUCGGCCUGCGCGGAAGAUGUAACGGGGCUAAACCAUGCACCGAAGCUGCGGCAGCGACGCUGAUGCGUUGUUGGGUAGGGGAGCGUUCUGUAAGCCUGCGAAGGUGGCCUGUGAGGGUUGCUGGAGGUAUCAGAAGUGCGAAUGCUGACAUAAGUAACGAUAAAGCGGGUGAAAAGCCCGCUCGCCGGAAGACCAAGGGUUCCUGUCCAACGUUAAUCGGGGCAGGGUGAGUCGACCCCUAAGGCGAGGCCGAAAGGCGUAGUCGAUGGGAAACGGGUUAAUAUUCCCGUACUUGGUGUUACUGCGAAGGGGGGACGGAGAAGGCUAUGUUGGCCGGGCGACGGUUGUCCCGGUUUAAGCGUGUAGGUGUGUGUUCCAGGUAAAUCCGGUUCACUUUAACACUGAGGCGUGAUGACGAGGCACUACGGUGCUGAAGCAACAAAUGCCCUGCUUCCAGGAAAAGCCUCUAAGCAUCAGGUAACAUCAAAUCGUACCCCAAACCGACACAGGUGGUCAGGUAGAGAAUACCAAGGCGCUUGAGAGAACUCGGGUGAAGGAACUAGGCAAAAUGGUGCCGUAACUUCGGGAGAAGGCACGCUGACACGUAGGUGAAGUGAUUUACUCAUGGAGCUGAAGUCAGUCGAAGAUACCAGCUGGCUGCAACUGUUUAUUAAAAACACAGCACUGUGCAAACACGAAAGUGGACGUAUACGGUGUGACGCCUGCCCGGUGCCGGAAGGUUAAUUGAUGGGGUCAGCGCAAGCGAAGCUCCUGAUCGAAGCCCCGGUAAACGGCGGCCGUAACUAUAACGGUCCUAAGGUAGCGAAAUUCCUUGUCGGGUAAGUUCCGACCUGCACGAAUGGCGUAAUGAUGGCCAGGCUGUCUCCACCCGAGACUCAGUGAAAUUGAACUCGCUGUGAAGAUGCAGUGUACCCGCGGCAAGACGGAAAGACCCCGUGAACCUUUACUAUAGCUUGACACUGAACAUUGAGCCUUGAUGUGUAGGAUAGGUGGGAGGCUUUGAAGUGUGGACGCCAGUCUGCAUGGAGCCGGCCUUGAAAUACCACCCUUUAAUGUUUGAUGUUCUAACGUGGACCCGUGAUCCGGGUUGCGGACAGUGUCUGGUGGGUAGUUUGACUGGGGCGGUCUCCUCCUAAAGAGUAACGGAGGAGCACGAAGGUUGGCUAAUCCUGGUCGGACAUCAGGAGGUUAGUGCAAUGGCAUAAGCCAGCUUGACUGCGAGCGUGACGGCGCGAGCAGGUGCGAAAGCAGGUCAUAGUGAUCCGGUGGUUCUGAAUGGAAGGGCCAUCGCUCAACGGAUAAAAGGUACUCCGGGGAUAACAGGCUGAUACCGCCCAAGAGUUCAUAUCGACGGCGGUGUUUGGCACCUCGAUGUCGGCUCAUCACAUCCUGGGGCUGAAGUAGGUCCCAAGGGUAUGGCUGUUCGCCAUUUAAAGUGGUACGCGAGCUGGGUUUAGAACGUCGUGAGACAGUUCGGUCCCUAUCUGCCGUGGGCGCUGGAGAACUGAGGGGGGCUGCUCCUAGUACGAGAGGACCGGAGUGGACGCAUCACUGGUGUUCGGGUUGUCAUGCCAAUGGCACUGCCCGGUAGCUAAAUGCGGAAGAGAUAAGUGCUGAAAGCAUCUAAGCACGAAACUUGCCCCGAGAUGAGUUCUCCCUGAGACUUAGAGUCUCCUGAAGGAACGUUGAAGACGACGACGUUGAUAGGCCGGGUGUGUAAGCGCAGCGAUGCGUUGAGCUAACCGGUACUAAUGAACCGUGAGGCUUAACCUUACA